rnacentral:ncRNA from 1 species
AUAGUAGGAAACCAUGUGUUCAUGCCGCAAGGCCGAAAGUGCCGGCGAGACGGGAAGUUGCUCGCCGGACGAAAAACCGGAAGGGUUUGCAGUGUGGUUUCCGCAUUCCGCUGC